ensembl:lncRNA
CACAGGGCUUUAGAUUAGACUGACUGAAAAAAACUAUUUGUUGUCAUUCAAUUUCUUAGAGUAGUUCGUCACAGCGUAAAAUAUGUCACUUCCUGUUGCCAAUAGGUGGCGCUAUGACAAUGACUGAAUAUGGGCAUGUAGAUCUGUUCAGGUCAGGAGUCUUAUCAAACAUGUGAAGUUUGGGGCAGAUUGGACAUUGUAUGUCUGAGUUAUAGCAACUUCCUUUUUCAUGGCGAAACAUCGAAAUUUGUCAGGCCGCCACGGACACGCCCUUUGACGAAAACUCAAGAUCUUCGCAAUUUAACAUUGCAAAGGCCUUUAGAUUAGGCAUACCAAAUAUGGGGUUGAUCUGAAUAAAUCUCUAGGAGGAGUUCGUUUAAAUACGACGCAUGGAAAUGGCAAAAAUUACACAAAUUUUGCUCAUAAAAUUAAAAAUAUCCGACUUCCUGUUGGGUUUCGGAUUUUACUCCAAGAGACUUUUUUGUAGGUAUUGGUGAGUUACAUGUGUGUACCAAUUUUCGUACAUGUACGUGAAACACAGCUCGAGGCGCACUACGUUGAAAGUGUAUAGGUGGCGCUAUCGAGCCAUUUUGCCACACCCAGUUCUGAAACCCAUGUCAGAUGUAAAUUUUCGCCAGUUCUGAUGCGUGUGCAAAGUUUCGUGACUUUUCGAGCAUGUUUAGGCCCUCAAAAAUGCGAUUCAUUUUGGAGAAGAAGAAUAAUAAUAAUAAUAAUAAUAAUAAUAAUAAUAAUUAAAGCUGCAAGCAGCGAUGAACGGGCCCUCGCACCCGGGCUCACCACCACCGGGUGGCUUUUGUAAAACAGCGAACGGCGAGAAAUAUGCGUUUAAUGUGGUAAAUAUAAGAGGAAUAUGCCAAAGUCAUUUAUAUGUGCCAAUCUUCCUGCUGCCAGCUGGUGGCGCUAUGACUAUAACUGGAUUUUGUCAUGUAGAUUUCUUCAGUCCAGCACUUUUAUCAAGCAUAUGAAAUUUAGUGCAGAUUGAACAUGGAAUGUUUGAGUUAGUAUAAAGUAUGUUGUGUCCUAUUGCCAACAGGUGGCGCUAUGAUUAUAACUGAAUAUUGGCC